rnacentral:rRNA from 2 species
CGGGUGAGUAACACAUGCGAACGCGCCCUUUACUACGGACAUCGCAGGGAAACUUGUGCUAUUACCGUAUGUGCCCUUUUGGGGAAAGAUUUAUCGGUAAGGGAUCGGCCCGCGUUGCAUUAGCUAGUUGGUUGGGUGAAGGCCUACCUAAGCCACCAUCCCCAUAUGUGGUCUGACAGGAUGAUCAACCACUUUGGGACUGAAACACGGCCCAAACUCCUACGGGAGGCAGCAGUGGGGAAUAUUGGACAAUGGGCGCAAGCCUGAUCCAACCAUGCCGCGUGAGUGAUGAAGGCCCCACGUUGUAAAGGUUUUUUUCACCGGAGAAGAUAAUGACGGUAUCCGGAGAAUAAACCCCGGUUAUUUUCGUGCCACCCGCCCUGUUUUUACGAAGGGGGCUAGCGUUGUUCGGAAUUACUGGGCGUAAACCGCCCGUAGGCGGACAUUUAAGUCAGGGGUGAAAUCCCGGGGGCUCAACCUCAGACCUGCCUUUGAUUCUGGGUGUCUUGAUUAGGAACAGGUGAGUGGAAUUCCGAGCGAAAGGUGAAAUUCUAAAUAU